AUUGAACGCUGGCGGCAUGCUUUACACAUGCAAGUCGAACGGUAACAGGCCGCAAGGUGCUGACGAGUGGCGAACGGGUGAGUAAUGCAUCGGAACGUGCCCAGUCGUGGGGGAUAACGCAGCGAAAGCUGCGCUAAUACCGCAUACGAUCUCUGGAUGAAAGCGGGGGACCGAAAGGCCUCGCGCGAUUGGAGCGGCCGAUGUCAGGUUAGGUAGUUGGUGGGGUAAAGGCUCACCAAGCCAACGAUCUGUAGCUGGUCUGAGAGGACGACCAGCCACACUGGGACUGAGACACGGCCCAGACUCCUACGGGAGGCAGCAGUGGGGAAUUUUGGACAAUGGGCGCAAGCCUGAUCCAGCAAUGCCGCGCGCAGGAAGAAGGCCUUCGGGUUGUAAACUGCUUUUGUACGGAACGAAACGGUCCUGGUUAAUACCUGGGGCUAAUGACGGUACCGUAAGAAUAAGCACCGGCUAACUACGUGCCAGCCGCCGCCGCGG
rnacentral:rRNA from 1 species